rnacentral:rRNA from 1 species
UGGUGACUAUAGCAAGGAGGUCACACCUGUUCCCAUGCCGAACACAGAAGUUAAGCUCCUUAGCGUCGAUGGUAGUCGAACUUAAAAAUGGCUUGGCGAAGUGAAAACGUUUGAAUC